rnacentral:misc_RNA from 1 species
GAUGAAGAACGUAGCGAAAUGCGAUAAGUAGUGUGAAUUGCAGAAUUCCGUGAAUCAUCGAAUCUUUGAACGCACAUUGCGCCUUCUGGUAUUCCGGAAGGCAUGCCUGUUCGAGAGUCAUUAACAACCGUUUCGAUCCCUUUCUUUCAGAAAUUACAAAGAGGAAAAGGGUUUGGUUAUGGUGGAGGAGGGAAAGGGAGCGUUUAGCCUGUAAAAAAAGAGGCUGUGUUCCGCCUCCCCCCCAAAAUUGUACAGGCGGUCGUGUGCGCCCACGCAUCGAGGUGUUGUAAAAGCUGCCACGGCACUUUUCACCUGUGCAGUGCGAGAUUGGCCAGACGGUUUAAAAACCCCUCCAAACAAUCAAAGGUUGACCUCGGAUCAGGUAGGGAUACCCGCUGAACUUAAGCAUAUCAAUAAGCGGAGGA